UACAGAGGUCUCAAGCGUUGUUCGGAUUCAUUGGGCGUAAAGGGUGCGUAGGCGGCGCGGUAAGUCGGGUGUGAAAUCUUGGAGCUUAACUCCGAAACUGCAUUCGAUACUGCCGUGCUUGAGGACUGGAGAGGAGACUGGAAUUUACGGUGUAGCGGUGAAAUGCGUAGAUAUCGUAAGGAAGACCAGUGGCGAAGGCGGGUCUGCUGGACAGUUCCUGACGCUGAAGCACGAAGGCCAGGGGGAGCAAACGGG
rnacentral:rRNA from 1 species